rnacentral:ncRNA from 2 species
UGCAGAGUAGAACCGCGUGCGUUAGGAAGCAUUGAAGCACCAUUCCUUACAGUGCCUUGUGAACAGGGAGUUGUCACAGGGACGAAAGAGACCAGACGCCAUGUCAUUUUGUCUUGCGAUACGAGGUUCGCAUCCCGCUGCU